GCCCGAAUGGCUCAGUGGUAAAGCGUCUCACUAGUACCUUGUUCUGUCCUGGAUCUCACGAUCCGGGGUUGAAAUGUGAACGCAAUGAGAAGAUCGGCGGUUCGAUUCCGCCUUUGGGCA
rfam:Colletotrichum salicis strain CBS 607.94 Scaffold_2620.1, whole genome shotgun sequence.